AGAUGUCGCGUUUAUAUGUAUAGAUAUCAACCCGAUCUCCGAAAACGCAGGCAGGUGGCGAGGGCGUCACCGACAGUCGUGAUCGAAGGGGGGGAAAUCAAACAGGAUUAGA
rnacentral:rRNA from 1 species